GCUAAAAAUACAACCUAUUUUUAUUCAAUAACACUUAAAUCUCAUAUUUAAACUAAAACAUUUUAUAAGUUUAGUAAAGGCGAUUGAAACAUUAAUUAGAGUUAUAAAAGUACCGUAAGGGAAUAAUGAAAUAAAAAUGAAAUAAAUAUUAAGCACUAAACAGUAAAGAUUAAUCCUUGUACCUUUUGCAUCAUGGUUUAAUUAGUCUAAUCAAGCAAAAUGAUUUAUAGUUUGCCUUCCCGAAACUAAGUGAGCUACUUCAAGGCAGUUGAUAGAACAAACCCGUCUCUGUUGCAAAAGAGUGGGAAGACCUUCAAGUAGUGGUGACAGACCUAACGAACUUAGUGAUAGCUGGUUUCUCAGGAAAAGGAUUUUAGUCCAACCUAAAGUUCCACAAAUUUAACAAAAUUAAUCUUAAACUUUAGAGUAAUUCAAUUAAGGGACAGCUUACUUGAAAAAGGAUACAACCUAAACUAAUGGGUAUUUACAACUAACAUAACCAAGUGGGCCUAAAAGCAGCCAUCUUCAAGACAGCCCUAAAGCUCUACUACACAAUUAAUUUAAUCUCUUAAAACAAAUUUAACCCUUUAAUAUUACCGAGAAAUUCUAUUCACUUAUAGAAUCUAUAAUGUUAAAACAAGUAACAAGAAGAAAACUCUUCUCUUAAAUAUAAAUAUAAACCAAUAAGGACCCACCGCUGGUAAUUACACAUCAAUGAAAUACGCUAACAACCCUACAAGAAAAAUCUAGCAAAUUAAAUGUUAACCUUACACAAGUAUAUUUUAAGAAAGAUUAAAAGAAAAAGAAGGAACUCGGCAAAUUCUUGCCCUCGCCUGUUUACCAAAAACAUCGCCUUUUGAUUAUUAUAAAAGGUCCAGCCUGCCCAGUGACUUGUUUAACGGCCGCGGUAUCCUGACCGCGCGAAGGUAGCAUAAUCAAUUGUUCUUUAAUUGGGGACUCGUAUGAACGGCAUCACGAGGGGUGUACUGUCUCCUUUUUCUAAUCAGUGAAACUAAUCUUCCCGUGAAAAAGCGGGAAUAAAACCAUAAGACGAGAAGACCCUAUGGAGCUUCAAACAAACAACAAGUACCUUAAAUUAUUUAACUUUUAAAAAAAAUCUAAAUAUUUAUUCUGUUACUUUGAUUUCUAGUUUUAGGUUGGGGUGACCGCGGAGUAAAAAUUAACCUCCAUGUUGAACGGGUAUAUUCCUGAAUCACGAGCCACAACUCUAAGUACCAAAAAAUUGACAUUAAUUGACCCAAGACUUUGAUCAACGAACCAAGUUACCCUAGGGAUAACAGCGCUAUCUAUUUCAAGAGACCACAUCAAAAAAUGGGCUUACGACCUCGAUGUUGGAUCAGGGUAUCCCAGUGGUGCAGCCGCUACUAAAGGUUCGUUUGUUC
rnacentral:rRNA from 1 species